UACGGAGGGUGCAAGCGUUAUCCGGAUUUAUUGGGUUUAAAGGGUGCGUAGGCGGUAUUUUAAGUCAGUGGUGAAAUGUUACAGCUUAACUGUAGAAUUGCCAUUGAAACUGAAGUACUUGAGUUAUCUUGAGGUAGGCGGAAUGUGUAGUGUAGCGGUGAAAUGCUUAGAUAUUACACAGAACACCGAUUGCGAAGGCAGCUUACUAAGGAUAUACUGACGCUGAGGCACGAAAGCGUGGGGAUCAAACAGGAUUAGAUACCCUGGUAGUCCACGCCGUAAACGAUGAUGACUCGCUGUUGGCGAUACACAGUCAGCGGCUUAGCGAAAGCGUUAAGUCAUCCACCUGGGGAGUACGCUCGCAAGAGUGAA
rnacentral:rRNA from 1 species